AGGGAGCUUGCUCCGCUGACGAGUGGCGAACGGGUGAGUAAUAUAUCGGAACGUACCCAGAAGUGGGGGAUAACGUAGCGAAAGUUACGCUAAUACCGCAUACGAUCUACGGAUGAAAGUGGGGGACCUUCGGGCCUCAUGCUUUUGGAGCGGCCGAUAUCUGAUUAGCUAGUUGGUGAGGUAAAGGCUCACCAAGGCGACGAUCAGUAGCUGGUCUGAGAGGACGACCAGCCACACUGGAACUGAGACACGGUCCAGACUCCUACGGGAGGCAGCAGUGGGGAAUUUUGGACAAUGGGCGCAAGCCUGAUCCAGCAAUGCCGCGUGAGUGAAGAAGGCCUUCGGGUUGUAAAGCUCUUUUGUCAGGGAAGAAACGGUAGAGGCUAAUAUCCUUUGCUAAUGACGGUACCUGAAGAAUAAGCACCGGCUAACUACGUGCCAGCAGCCGCGGUAAUACGUAGGGUGCAAGCGUUAAUCGGAAUUACUGGGCGUAAAGCGUGCGCAGGCGGUUUUGUAAGUCUGACGUGAAAUCCCCGGGCUCAACCUGGGAAUUGCGUUGGAGACUGCAAGGCUAGAAUCUGGCAGAGGGGGGUAGAAUUCCACGUGUAGCAGUGAAAUGCGUAGAGAUGUGGAGGAACACCGAUGGCGAAGGCAGCCCCCUGGGUCAAGAUUGACGCUCAUGCACGAAAGCGUGGGGAGCAAACAGGAUUAGAUACCCUGGUAGUCCACG
rnacentral:rRNA from 1 species